rnacentral:lncRNA from 1 species
AGGGCCCUACCACAACUGGAGCCACCAAGGAGAGAAGAACGGUCUGAAGAUCAACUUUCAAUCGGGAUCAUCAAUACCAUCUCUGGAGGACCCCGACGGGGUGCAGCCAGUGGAUCGGUCGGACCGCCUAAGCUGCAGAGGAUGGAAGAAUCUAUAACCUUUACUGAAGAAGAUGCCCGGGAGAUUCAAUUCUCCCACAAUGAUGCGGUUGUAGUUUCUUUAAAUAUUGCUGACUAUGAUGUACGCCGCAUUCUUGUUGAUAGUGGAA